CGUCAAGAUGGCGGAUACUCUCCCUUCGGAGUUUGAUGUGAUCGUAAUAGGGACGGGUUUGCCUGAAUCCAUCAUUGCAGCUGCAUGUUCAAGAAGUGGCCGGAGAGUUCUGCAUGUUGAUUCAAGAAGCUACUAUGGAGGAAACUGGGCCAGUUUUAGCUUUUCAGGACUAUUGUCCUGGCUAAAGGAAUACCAGGAAAACAGUGACAUUGUAAGUGACAGUCCAGUGUGGCAAGACCAGAUCCUUGAAAAUGAAGAAGCCAUUGCUCUUAGCAGGAAGGACAAAACUAUUCAACAUGUGGAAGUAUUUUGUUAUGCCAGGUCCACGCUGCUUUUAUGAGCUGUAACACUCACCGCGAAGAUCUGCAGCUUCACUCCUGCGCCCACCGAGACCACAAGCCCACCGGGAGGAACGAACAACUCCAGACGCUCUGCCUUAAGAGCUGUAACAUUCACCGCGAAGGUCUGCAGCUUCACUCCUGAGCCAGCGAGACCACGAACCCACCAGAAGGAAGAAACUCCGAACACAUCUGAACAUCAGAAGGAACAAACUCCAGACGUGCCACCUUAAGAGCUGUAACACUCACCGCGCGGGUCCGCGGCUUCAUUCUUUAAGUCAGUGAGACCAAGAACCCACCAAUUCCGGACACACCGAUAGCAUUCUAAUAUUUUACAUUUGAUUGCAAGGAGGACUAGGCGAGAAUUCAAAUGGAUUAGUGCAAACCCAUUACCACUGCUUGGAAAAUACGUCAAAGUAUUUGGGCAAUAUAAUUCUAAUAUAUGUAUUCUAAUAUAAAUAUAUAGGGUGUAUUUAUAUAUUAUGUAUUCUAAUAUAAAUAUAUAGGAUAGUUAUUUUUUGAUUACCAUGACUUAUUUAAAAAGUAUUCUGAAGUAUUAUUCAACUUAAAGGUUUUCAUGAUCAUUUCAACAUUAAAUUUAAUACGUUGGGUAUUGCAAAACAGGCUAAAGACUAAAAUGUAAAUUGUAGUAAUUAUUCUAUCAUAGGCUAGGUUCAAACAUCAUAGACUGUAAAGAACUAUCCAGAUUGUUUUAUCAGAGCUUUGUUUUCCUGAUUCUUCCUUACAAUAAGUGGGCUACUUAAUAUUUUGGACCUAAAAUAUUUUUGCUACACAAAGAUUGUUUUUCAUUGAAGUGAUUUUUUGUGAUUACACAAUCGAGUUAUGGAAGGGAAAUGAAAAAGGACUAGUGUUUAUUGGAUAUUAUCUUUGUGGCAACUGCUGUAACCUGUUGCUUUACAUAUUAAUUUCAUUUAUUCUGUGCAGCAGUCAUGUGCAUGAGCUAUAGGUACAUCUUACUGACAAACAGAAGCUCAAGGAAUGCUAGAGAUAGCAGAGCCAAAUUUGAACUUGUGUUUUUCUAACUCAAAAACGUGUGCUAUUUCCAGUGUAUCAUGUUGUAUUUCAGUCAUCAGGUAAACACAUGUAUGCACAUCAAGGGAACCAACCGUUCCACCAAGUGAAUUAAGUAUUUCCUUUGUGAAGACUAGCACCUAAGAAAGUGCAUUUACUUCUUUAAUUUACUGGAAUACUAUAUAGUAUUGUAAUGUAGUUAUAUCUGUAAUGAGAAAUUAAAGUGCCUAACUCCCAGUGUUAGGAAGCUAUGGGAAGAAUCCAAUAUUCUUUAGUUGUUGAGACCAGUUUAUAUGCCAUGGGAUUUUUUAAAUUGAUACAUAAUAAUUGUAUAUAUUCAUGGGAUACAAUAUGUUUUGGUACAUAUAAACAUUGUAGAAUGAUCAAAUUAGGCUAAUUAGCAUAUCCAUCACCUUAAACCUUUAUUAUUUUUUGUGAGAACAUUCAGAAUCAUCUCUUUUAGCUAUUUGAAAUAUGCAAUGCAUUAUUGUUAGCUAUACUCACCUUACUGUGUGAUAGAGUACCAGAAUGUAUUCCUCCUACCUAACUGUAACAUUAUACCCAUUGACCAACCUCUCCUCAUCUUCCCCUCCCUCCUGUUCUCCCCAGUCUCUGGUAACCACUAUCAAGUUUUUUAGAUUUCACAUAUGAGUGAGAUCAUUCAGUAUUUUUCUUUCUGUUCUCAGCUUAUUUCACUUAAUAUAAUGUUCUCCAGGCUCAUCCAUGUUGUCACAAAUGACAGGAUUUAAUUUUUUUUAUGGCUGUGCAGUAUUCUAUUGUGUAUAUAUGCCACAUUUUCCUUGUUAAUUCAUUUGUUGAUGGGCAUUUAAGUUGAUUCCAUAUUUUCGCAAUUGUGAAUAGUGCUCCAAUAAACAUGGGAGUGCAGAUGUCUCUUCAACCUACUGAUUUCAUUUCCUUUGGCUAUAUACCCAGUAGUGAGGGUGAAGAUUGCUGGAUCAUAUGAUAGAUUUAUUUUUAAUUUUUUGAGGAACUUCUGUACUGUUUUCCAUAAUGGCUGUACUGAUUUGCAUUCCUACCAACAGUGUGUGAGAGUUCUUCUUUCUUACCAUGUAAUAGUUUCAUAGUUUAUGUGGGGAAAUAAAAGUAGCUAUUGUUUCUAGUUUUAGAUCUUGAACAGACUAUAAAAAGGUGCAAUAUAUUAAUUCACACUUAAAUCACACAAACUCAAGUUAUUCUUAGGUAAAAUAUCGUUGCUUGUUAAUUGCAUAAAGUCAUCUAGUUUCUUUAGUGAGAAGAGAUUUUAUCUUUCUAAAAUAUUAACAAUAGCUUUAUACAUUUUCUGUCCUAUUUUCUGCAUUGUACUGAACGUUGUUUCCCUUUUUCUGGUAUAAUAUUAAAGCAGGAUGAAAACUUAUUUGUUACCUUCAAAUGAACCAACUCUAAUGUAUUCAUACCAAAAAUAAAGAUUUUUUUGCAAUAGGAAUCUAAAA
rnacentral:lncRNA from 10 species